rnacentral:rRNA from 1 species
CCUACGGGAGGCAGCAGUAAGGAAUAUUGGUCAAUGGAGGGAACYCUGAACCAGCCAUGCCGCGUGCAGGAAGACGGCCCUACGGGUUGUAAACUGCUUUUGCACGGGAAUAACCCUCAUUAUGUAUAAUGAGCUGAAUGUACCGUGAGAAUAAGGAUCGGCUAACUCCGUGCCAGCAGCCGCGGUAAU